rnacentral:rRNA from 1 species
CCUACGGGAGGCAGCAGUGAGGAAUAUUGGUCAAUGUACGAGAGUCUGAACCAGCCAAGUAGCGUGAAGGAUGACUGCCCUAUGGGUUGUAAACUUCUUUUAUAUGGGAAUAAAAUGUUCCACGUGUGGGAUUUUGUAUGUACCAUAUGAAUAAGGAUCGGCUAACUCCGUGCCAGCAGCCGCGGUAAUACGGAGGAUCCGAGCGUUAUCCGGAUUUAUUGGGUUUAAAGGGAGCGUAGGUGGAUUGUUAAGUCAGUUGUGAAAGUUUGCGGCUCAACCGUAAAAUUGCAGUUGAAACUGGCAGUCUUGAGUACAGUAGAGGUGGGCGGAAGUCGUGGUGUAGCGGUGAAAUGCUUAGAUAUCACGAAGAACUCCGAUUGCGAAGGCAGUUCACUGGACUGCAACUGACACUGAGGCUCGAAAGUGUGGGUAUCAAACAGGAUUAGAUACCCUAGUAGUC